AUGAUAUUAGUAGUGGUACUUCAAUUGUGGCACAUCUUUCCUUUUGUUUUUGAGCUGGUGUCUUGCACUUGGGAGAGUAACCUGAGAUCAGCACUGAAGGAAGUCAGAGUGUGUGGAAGAUGGUGGAUGGUUCCCUCCUCUUCUCUCCGGGCCUCAGGGCUCAGUGCGGAUGCAGAGUAUGACUUGCUUUUGUUCCAGCCAGGUUCUCAGAGCCUCAGGGGUGGAGGAGCAGAGCUGGAUCAGGAGUUGCCAAGCCAAAUGGCCCACAGCAGCCAGGCAGCGACGGAGCUUUCAAAUCUGUUGACUUCAGUGUCACUGGAAUAUUCCUCGCCUUUCCACAUGUAUAAAGACUUAGAGCCAAUUCAUUCCAUCCACGCAAUUAUUUCUCUGUCUAUAAAACUCUCCACUGGGAUUUCCUUGGAAAUAUUUCAGUGAUAGCUUCAUUUUGCAGACAAAGGAAACUGAGUGAAUAAAAUGUGUCCUGAAAAUUUGACAGUCUUGGCGUUGAAAAGUUAAGCAACGAAAAUUUAAAAGAAGAAAACAAACUAGUCCUCUGAAUACUGAUGUCAGGACAUUCCCUGAAUUCCUGUUUGAUUGCUGCUCCAGAGACAAGCCUCAUUAGAAUGAAGUUUCCAUUUUUAGAUUCAUUUUGUUCAAUACCUGAACACUGCCAAUUAAACCUGGAAGAGAACCACUAUAUAUGAAUAAUUCUAUAAUAUGGGACAUGUGUGUGAAUGUGUGUGUGUGUGUUUAGCAUACACUGAAGGUAUAUAUUCUUUUGAAUGACUUUUUAAAAGGUCUACUUUUGCUGUGAUUAAAAUAUGAUGUUGUAAAAAGGGAAGGGAGCUGGUAGGUUGGUGAAAAAUUGGUGGGAGAAGAGAUUGUCUUAUUUGCAACUGAUUGUUAAAUUUGUCUACUUUUCUAAUAGACAUCUACUGUUACUUCUCCCACUGCAUUCACAUGGUGUUCUGUCUUUCAUAAAUAAUAUCAUUUCACUGAUGUGAUAUUAUUGAAUUCUAAAUAAUGUCGCAACUCCACUAGUUUAUGACAGUCUUCUAGAUUGGGGUACCCUCUUUUAAUGUGAAUCCUUCAUAGUAUCCUGAUUGCUAAAGUUCCUCAUGCAGGACCUUAUACUGGCAUUCCCCAGUAACAUUUAUGGAAUUGGAUUUAAGCUUCAUGAAGUUUCAUGGUUUGUUAGCUUUCCAUUACUAUAAUAGAUAUCUGAGGUAAUCAAACUUAUGAAGAGGAAAGGUUUAUUUUGGCUCACAGUUCUGGAUAUUUCAGUCCAUGAUUAGUUGGUCCCAUUUUUUUGAGCCUGAGGGAGGCAGCACAUGGGUGCAUGUGGUGGAACACAACCACACACCUCAUGGCAGAAAAAGAGAAAAGAGACACAGGCAGGAGCUGGAGUUCUAUAAUUCCCAUGAGGGCACAGACCUAAGACCCAAAGACCACCUGUUAAAGUUUCCACCAGCUCCCAGUAGUGCCAUGGUCUGGGGGCCAAUUUUUUAACACAUGGGCCUUCAGGGAACACUUAAAACCCAUAGUGUAGUGAACAGGUUCUUCAUGCAUUUGACUGGGACAAGCCCGUGUUUUGAAGCUGUUCAGGAUCCAGUUUCACUUCUAAAGUGCCCAUCUACAUAGUGUUCUGGGGCCAGAGCCCACGUGAAUCCUCCUGGCAGAGUCCUGCAGUGGGACAGAUUCAGUUUCUCUGUUUCUUUUCUUUCUGGCUCUGUGCAGACAGACAUGGGGACAUGUCCUAUGCCUUGUCAAGAGAUCUUGGAAGAGAGAAGACUCCCUCUUACCAUUGAUGACUCUGAUCAGGUGACUUCUACAAUGAGGGUGUUCCUCAUGGGUCUGUGGCUACCCCAGAGAGCAGUCACUGCUACUGCCUGGUUCCCUGCCUGGCUCUCCAGCCUUCCGACCACGUCCUACAUUCCUAGUGUCCUGCCAACAGAUUUUCUUUGCUCUACAUUAGCCAGGGUAUUUAUUCUUUUUUUUGUAAUCUGUUCUCAAAGGACCCAUUUACAUAAGUUCUCUGUUGGAAGCCUUGGAACUAAUUUACUGAAGUAGUUUCCAAGCAGGACUGAUGGGAAAUCCAGCAGCAAUGAUACCUGAUCCUUUUGAACAAAAAGGGGCAUCACUGGAAGAGAAAAUUCUUUCGACCCUUACCAAAUAAUAAUACUCCCGCUACCAUUAUUAUAUUUCCCUGAGCAAUCAGAGAUUAGCUAGUUUGGUUGGACAAAGUGUCACAGAAUUCUGUUUCAAUAUCAAAUUAUCCAUUUCCCAACUCUGGCUCAUAGUAAUUAUGCUAGGGUUUUCCAGGUGUCAAGAGUAAGCACUAUUCAUGCGUGAUCUUUUUUAAUGCUAAAAAAAAUCUGCAGAACUAGGUACUAUCAUCUUUAUUUUACUGAUAAAGAAAUAAACUUGGCUAGGUUAAGAUGCUCAUCAUAGCUGAGAAGUGGCAGAGCCACUAUUCAACUAAGGAACGAAACCAUAGCACCUACCCUAUACUAACAUAAUAAUUAUGUGCUUCAUCAUAAACCUGUUUUAUGAUUACACAGAUUGUGGAAAAAGGUAAUUUUUAUUCUUAAUGUUUAUUUCUAGCUCCAACCACAAAUUUAAUUAAUAGAUUUCAUAUUUAUUUUAUUUGUUUAUAAAAAUAUGCUUUGCUUUUAUGAUUAAAUGACUAAGUGGCAUGGACUAUAACUUACUUAAUUACAUAUUGCUUAAUUAUUGGUGUAUUAGUUAAUUAUAUGAGUUAAUUUUUAAAAUUAAGUAAUUAUAUUUUAUAACAUGUUGCAGUUCUGAUGUCAAUCGUAUUUCUUUGUUAAUUUGGAAAAUCUGACUCAAGCAUUAGUAAGUGUUCAGUUAACUUUAAUAUGAUUAGUAGAGGUUAGUGAGACUUUACAUGUAAAAUACAGAUUCACACAUACAAUGUAUAACUCACAUGUUAAGAAUUAUUUCUUAUGAAAUAUGCAAAAUAUAUGAAGUAUUGAGAAAAAUGUGCAAGUAACUUCCUUUUAAAUUUUUUUAUUUUAUGAAAAAAUAAAAUUUCAUAAUCAAAUAUCA
rnacentral:lncRNA from 1 species